UCCACUUGCAAUUUAAUAAACUGCAGUUCAAAAUCCAUUUCCCUUUCCUGUUCGCUCCGGGAUUAGCUGCUGGAUUAGCUCCUGGAUUAGCUCUUCGAUUAACAACUUGCUGGAGGCUAUUCAAAUUAGCCACACCGUGGGAUGUAAGGAGCUCUCUGAUUGGUUGGUCAGACACAGGCUGUCUGCCAGCCUGGAUUUUUCUAGCUCAUAGCUUCGCCCUGCUACGAAGCGUGUGUGCUUGUACAAAGGCCGUUCAGCCUCGGGAUUUACACUCGGCUCGACACGGAUAUGUGAAGAAUGAAGGGACCCUGCAGCGAAACGGAGAGCCAACCUCUGACUGAGUGCCUGUCUACACAGUCUGACCACCUGUUGAAGGGCUGUUUGAUGACGAUUUGGACUCCUCUGGGAGAUGAGGACACACCCACAUCUGUUCCAUACUGCAGCCAUGGAUGGUGUUACGGCUCUGAGUCAGCUUUGGGCCAUCAGACGCACACACUGGAAAACCAGCACCUGGACUUCAUGCAGGAGAGAUGGCCUCAGUGAUGGACUCUGCAUCCUCUACUUUACCUCUAAUCUCUUUCUUCUUUAACACACAAUUAAAAUCACUCCAAAAGAGUGUAAACUUACUGAGGAAGUCGCUAACUUGUACACAUUUGUACUUUUACUUGUUUUCUGAGUUAUUUUUAAGAAGAGUAAAGUUAUUCACAUGAA